rnacentral:rRNA from 1 species
GAUGAACGCUAGCUACAGGCUUAACACAUGCAAGUCGCGGGGCAGCAUGUAUCUGGCUUGCCAGAUGCGAUGGCGACCGGCGCACGGGUGAGUAACGCGUAUCCAACCUGCCCAUAACCACGGCACAGCCCGUCGAAAGGCGGAUUAAUGCCGUAUGAGGUUCCAGAGUAGCAUUAUUAUGGAACGAAAGGAUUUGGCGGUUAUGGAUGGGGAUGCGUCCGAUUAGCUGGUUGGCGGGGUAACGGCCCACCAAGGCGACGAUCGGUAGGGGUUCUGAGAGGAAGGUCCCCCACACUGGAACUGAGACACGGUCCAGACUCCUACGGGAGGCAGCAGUGAGGAAUAUUGGUCAAUGGGGCNCAAGCCUGAACCAGCCAAGUAGCGUGCAGGAUGACGGCCCUAUGGGUUGUAAACUGCUUUUUCGCGGGGAUAAAGAGGGGGAUGCGUCCCCCGUUGCAGGUACCGCGUGAUAAGGACCGGCUAAUUCCGUGCCAGCAGCCGACGG